rnacentral:misc_RNA from 1 species
UUAUUCAUCAUCAGCCCAGUCCUCUUCCUUAAAUGGCAAGACCCUAAAAACAAACUAAAAGUACAUGCCACCACCCUUCUUUUCAUGUCUCCUCUCCUCAUCAACUCCUCUACCCCCUAUGACCAUCACCGACAGAGACUCAGGCCACUUUACGAUGCUGGCGAAGCAACUAAUCAAUCCAGCAAGUUCAGACACGAAAGAAGAUGGGAUUAACGGUGGCUUUAAGCAGCUUCACGAUGGGUUCUACGGGGAGGAUUAACAAACGCCAAUAGCAAGCUAAAAGCCAUCUCCGGCCGUCGGAAAUGCGAUUCCAUCUUUUGAUUUUUUUGGACACGGCCUUGAAACGUGUCAUGGGCGCUUCAUACCAUUUCCGUCUUGUAAACGUUUCCAAAAUGGGGAAGUGCUAGUGAUUGGAGUUUUUGUAAUUCAUAGUGGAUUUUCAUUAACAAUUUAUAUAUUGAACUCCUGAAGAUCAAUUAAUGGUUGCUCCACCUGAGCAACAGCCUUUAUGGUAACAACAGAUGGAAUGACUGCAUUAGGCUGCUUAUCAGGAGUGUUAGUUAUUCACAACU